GACGAACGCUGGCGGCGUGCCUAAUACAUGCAAGUCGAACGAGAGCGCCCGGUGCUUGCACUGGUCAAUCUAGUGGCGAACGGGUGAGUAACACGUGGGUAACCUGCCCAUCAGAGGGGGAUAACAUCCGGAAACGGAUGCUAAAACCGCAUAGGUCUUCGAACCGCAUGGUUUGAAGAGGAAAAGAGGCGCAAGCUUCUGCUGAUGGAUGGACCCGCGGUGCAUUAGCUAGUUGGUGAGGUAACGGCUCACCAAGGCCGUGAUGCAUAGCCGACCUGAGAGGGUGGUCGGCCACAUUGGGACUGAGACACGGCCCAAACUCCUACGGGAGGCAGCAGUAGGGAAUCUUCCGCAAUGGACGCAAGUCUGACGGAGCAACGCCGCGUGAGUGAAGAAGGUUUUCGGAUCGUAAAACUCUGUUGUUAGAGAAGAACAAGUGCUAGAGUAACUGUUAGCGCCUUGACGGUAUCUAACCAGAAAGCCACGGCUAACUACGUG
rnacentral:rRNA from 1 species